rnacentral:rRNA from 1 species
AACGAACGCUGGCGGCAUGCCUAACACAUGCAAGUCGAACGAGACCUUCGGGUCUAGUGGCGCACGGGUGCGUAACGCGUGGGAACCUGCCCUUAGGUUCGGAAUAACUCCCCGAAAGGGGUGCUAAUACCGGAUAAUGUCUUCGGACCAAAGAUUUAUCGCCUUUGGAUGGGCCCGCGUUGGAUUAGCUAGUUGGUAGGGUAAAAGCCUACCAAGGCGACGAUCCAUAGCUGGUCAGAGAGGAAGAUCAGCCACACUGGGACUGAGACACGGCCCAGACUCCUACGGGAGGUGGCAGAGGGGAAUAUUGGACAAUGGGCGAAAGCCUGAUGCAGCAAUGCCGCGUGAGUGAUGAAGGCCUUAGGGUUGUAAAGCUCUUUUACCCGGGAUGAUAAUGACAGUACCGGGAGAAUAAGCUCCGGCUAACUCCGUG